GCCCCGAUAGCUCAGCGGAUAGAGCAGCAGCCUUCUAAUCUGACGGUCGUAGGUUCGAGUCCUACUCGGGGCGCCC
rnacentral:tRNA from 7 species